rnacentral:rRNA from 1 species
UGGGGAAUAUUGCACAAUGGGCGCAAGCCUGAUGCAGCCAUGCCGCGUGUAUGAAGAAGGCCUUCGGGUUGUAAAGUACUUUCAGCGGGGAGGAAGGGAGUAAAGUUAAUACCUUUGCUCAUUGACGUUACCCGCAGAAGAAGCACCGGCUAACUCCGUGCCAGCAGCCGCGGUAAUACGGAGGGUGCAAGCGUUAAUCGGAAUUACUGGGCGUAAAGCGCACGCAGGCGGUUUGUUAAGUCAGAUGUGAAAUCCUCGGGCUCAACCUGGGAACUGCAUCUGAUACUGGCAAGCUUGAGUCUCGUAGAGGGGGGUAGAAUUCCAGGUGUAGCGGUGAAAUGCGUAGAGAUCUGGAGGAAUACCGGUGGCGAAGGCGGCCCACUGGACAAAGACUGACGCUCAGGUGCGAAAGCGUGGGGAGCAAACAGG